AAUGGGCGCAAGCCUGAUCCAGCGAUGCCGCGUGGAUGAUGAAGGCCCUAGGGUUGUAAAGUCCUUUCGAUGGUGAAGAUAAUGACGGUAACCAUUAAAGAAGCCCCGGCUAAUUUCGUGCCAGCAGCCGCGGUAAUACGAAAGGGGCAAGCGUUGUUCGGAAUUACUGGGCGUAAAGCGCGCGUAGGCGGCAUGCCAAGUUGGGGGUGAAAUCCCGGAGCUCAACUCCGGAACUGCCUCCAAAACUGGCAAGCUAGAGGAUGUGAGAGGAUAGUGGAAUUCCGAGUGUAGAGGUGAAAUUCGUAGAUAUUCGGAAGAACACCAGUGGCGAAGGCGACUGUCUGGCACAUUUCUGACGCUGAGGUGCGAAAGCGUGGGGAGCGAACAGGAUU
rnacentral:rRNA from 1 species